rnacentral:rRNA from 1 species
CCACGGGCGGCUCCAGUGGGGAAUAUUGGACAAUGGGGGAAACCCUGAUCCAGCAAUGCCGCGUGUGUGAAGAAGGCCUGCGGGUUGUAAAGCACUUUCGGUUGGGAGGACUGCUUCUAGCACUAAUAUUGUUGGAAGUUGACGUUACCUUCAGAAGAAGCACCGGCUAACUCCGUGCCAGCAGCCGCGGUGAAUACGGAGGGUGCAAGCGUUAAUCGGAAUUACUGGGCGUAAAGCGCGCGUAGGCGGCUAGAUCAGUCGGGUGUGAAAGCCCCGGGCUUAACCUGGGAACUGCAUCCGAUACUGUCUAGCUUGAGUACAGGAGAGGAGAGUGGAAUUCCACAUGUAGCGGUGAAAUGCGUAGAUAUGUGGAGGAACACCAAUGGCGAAGGCAGCUCUCUGGCCUGAUACUGACGCUGAGGUGCGAAAGCGUGGGGAGCAAACAGGAUUAGAUACCCCCGUAGUC